ACACUUGUUUCUCUUCAGAUCGUACAAAUCUUUCCCCUUUUCCCAAAGAUUUCCAUGCAGAAGAACAACAAGAGUUAUCCUAAUUUUUUGAUGCCCUACUGAGAGGUAGGGUG
rnacentral:snRNA from 1 species